AUGGCUCAAGCAAAGGUUGAGCUGGACCAGAUUGCCGCAUGGUUUAGUGAGGAGGGACUUGACCCAGGCUCCUCUAAGGAGGCUCAGCUGUGCGAGCUGUGGCGGGCCUUUCACUGUGUAAGAAGCCAUCUGAGCAGUGUGACAAGGGACCAGGACAGGCAGCGCUCACAACACUUAGCAGAGAUGGAUGAAGUGCGCAAGUCCUUGGAGCAGAUCAGCAUCUUUACAGAACAAAAAGAUGUUUUGGUUCAGGAGAUACAAGAUGAAAACGAUCAGCUGAAGGAUCGGCUGCGGCAGCUAAUAUCCCUUCAAGACACCCAGAUAAGCGAGGUGGCUAAAAUGCUGUACCAGCAGGGUCUCACUGAGUUGAUUCACAGCAGCCCCAGUGAGCAGGUGGCAUAUCUCUUGGUGGAGAGGGCCUCCCUACUCGAGACAAGUGAGGAUCGUGACAACCUGACAAAUGCUGGAAACACAAUCAGCCCAGCGCAAACAGAGACGCAACUGCCAAACAGCAACGCACAACAGAAGUGGGUGCCAAAUCAUGGCCAGAGUCCAUGGAGGAAACUCUUUGGUCUCCACAAAGCCACACAAAGCAAACACACUCCCAUUCCUAAUGAAGCCAGGCAUUUGACUAAUCAGUCAAAUGCCAGUGUGGAAAGGAAGUGCUCCCGUCUGGAGCGGGAUUUGGAGGAGGGCUCCCGUCGGCUGGCCAUGGCCCACAAUGAGAUACGACGUCUGACUGAUGAGUUAGAGUCUGCACAUUUGACCCAAAAAUCUUUUGAGUCUGAGCUGCAGGCAGCACAACAGGAAGAAGAAAAACUGAGGAAAUCUGAAAUGGUGGAACUGAGAAAGGCUAAAGAAGUAAACGAUCGUCUGGACCUUGAGAUCAGAGCCUUGAGGACUAGGGUACGCUCCCUGGAUGCUGAGAAAAACUCUCUGCAGUGGACAGUAGACUCUCUGCAGCAGGAAGUGGAGCGGUUACAGUCAACCCUACAGGAGCAACGGCAGCAAGCCAAGCAGGUGUCACCACAGACGGUCAUGCUUGUUCAUCCCUCAUAG
rnacentral:lncRNA from 1 species